rnacentral:rRNA from 1 species
CAAAAACAUGUCUUUUUGAUUAUAAUUUAAAGUCUAACCUGCCCAAUGAGGAGUUAAAUGGCCGCGGUAUUUUGACCGUGCAAAGGUAGCAUAAUCAUUAGUUUUUUAAUUGAAAGCUGGUAUGAAUGGUUGGACGAGAAAAUAACUGUCUCGAUUUAAGUUAAAUUAGAAUUUUAUUUAUGAGUAAAAAAGCUCAUAUAAGUUUAAAAGACGAGAAGACCCUAUAGAAUUUAAUAUAUAUACAUAUAUAUUAUUUUUAGAAUUAAUAAUAAAUUAUAUGUUAUUAUAUUUUGUUGGGGUGAUAGAAAAAUUUAAAUAACUUUUUUUAUAUAAAAACAUUAAUGUAUGAAAAAAUGAUCCGUUAAUUACGAUUAUAAGAUUAAAUUACCUUAGGGAUAACAGCGUAAUUUUUUUUUAGAGUUCUUAUCGAAAAAAGAGUUUGCGACCUCGAUGUUGGAUUAAAAUUAACUUUUGGUGUAGGGGCU